UCUUAUAAAGAGAGGUGGAGGGAAGUGCCCUAUGAAGCCCGGCAACCAGCAUUUUAUGCAAAGGUGCCAAUUCACACAAAGUUUAAACUUUGAAAGAUGAGA
rnacentral:ncRNA from 1 species